AGUAAAUUGUUUUUAAUAAUUUUUUAUAGUACCCAGUAUAAUAUAUAUAGAUAUGGAUAAAUAGAUAAUGACAGUAAUGCUGCUUUCACAUCACAAAACAUUGAAAUGUAUUACAUGAGAGUUUUCUUUUAAAUAUGAUCAAGAAAACUUUUUCUUUGAACUUCUUGUCCCCAUAGGUUAUAUGCAAGGCAAGAUUUCUGGACAGUGACAGAGCCAAGGCAAAAAUCUUGCUACAAUGGAAGAAAAUCCCCAAAUCAGAACUAUAGAAGCAUAUCAAUUGAAAUAUAUUCAACAGAUAAUUUAUAAAAUACUUCCAUUGUGGUGGCAUUGGGAUUAUAAAGGAAGACAAGAAUUUGCACUGAACUAAUUCAGAAGCAAGUGAGCAUGUGGACAUAUGGAAAAGGGAAACAGCUGGAUGUUACUUCAGUUUUGGAAAAGAAAAGAAAAGGUUUCAAACAAAUUUCUUUGUCAAAGUUUUAUUGUCAAAUGUUAUUUAAAAUGAUGUAUUAAGGGACUGGGAGAAAUCUUUAGUGACGACUGAAGGAAAUAUCUUAGUGAUAAAAACAGUGUCGAGGUGAAAGUAGCUUUUCUGAAUGGCAAACUACAUGAAGUAAUAUUCCCCUAUGGAAAGAAUGUAUUAAGCCCUUUGUAUCUUUCCAAGGACAGCAAAGAGCUUAUGUUUGAAAAGACAUGCAUCUCUUCUGUGUAAACAAAUGCAGAUUGGAUGGGUCUCUGAAGUGUCAUGAAGCAUUUGUAAGACAGAGAAUUUAGGAAUAAAUCACUGUGUAUUAGAUAUGAGCUAUGCA
rnacentral:lncRNA from 1 species